GACAGAGGUCCCGAGCGUUAGGCGGAAUCACUGGGCUUAAGGCGUGUGUAGGCGGAUGCCUAAGUCCCUUGUGAAAUCCCACGGCUCACCCGUGGAACUGCUUGGUAUACUGGGUGUCUUGAGCCACUUAGGGGCUACCGGAACAAAUGGUGGAGCGGUGAAAUGCGUAGAUAUCAUUUGGAACGCCAAUGGUGAAAACAGGUAGCUGGGAGUGUGCUGACGCUGAGACACGAAAGCCAGGGGAGCAAACGGG
rnacentral:rRNA from 1 species